CUGCAGCGUGUCUCAGGAGGUGUCACGAUGCAGUUUAACCUAUAAGCCGAAUUCUACAUGAAUCGCAACACUUGCAGGUAGAAGUGAGCAGAGCAAAGGACUACAACGUCAAGAUGGACAGAGAAAUUGCACUUGAAGCUUUGGGUGCAAUUUGCAAUGCCCAAAUCACUUCUGUUCAAAAACAAAGAGCAGACGCUCACGAUGGAGCUUUCCAAAGAGCAAGCUUUUCCUGCUCCGCUGCACCAACGCUGUCUGUAAAAACUCUCAUUCAUGCAAUCGCAGAUGGAAAUCAAACCUGCCCAAUGUCAAGAAACAACUUUGCCAGAAUUCAACAUGUUCUGCAAGAUGAAGUCAAACAGAAACCUGAUUGAUUUGAGCUCUCCGCUUAUCAAGUGGAGUCCUGAGGACAAGACUGAGAACAAUGCUCCCCUCAUCAACCUGUCCUUCUGAUCGUCAUCCUCCUUAAGUACUGGAUCUGUGCACAUUACUGAACCACCACCUCUCCGUCUUCAGGAACUCUAAUAAUCCAACUGAUUCUGAGUUUUUAAUCAGUGGAGUCUUUCCUACAGUGGAGUACACAAACAUAAAUGUUUUACAUAAAAUAUUCUGAAAUUGCUCAAGUGUCUCUACAACUAAUUGUACUUUUAUUUCUCUUGAUUUUGCUAUGUGAGUGAAGUUUUCCCCCCACCUUCUUCAA